GCGCACGUAAUUAAAUUCCACGGGAUACGAUAUGUUUCCAGCGAUAGUCUAAUAUUUUUAACCCUUUUUAAGUUGUUAGAAAUAUUGCAGAUUAUAAGAAAUAAUACUAGCCUAUUUGCUUUUAAGUCUCGAAAACCUCAUUUCCAAACGAGUAGCCGUGCAGAAAUAAAUGGCAGAAGGUGGUCAACCUCAUCAAAAAGUUUUUCACCUUUAUUUUGGAGAGAAAGUUGUCAGUGUUCAAGGAGACAAUGUCGAGUCGAAGACUGAAAUCAGCGCUGGUAAAAUUAGACAAGUCACAUUUAAAGAACCAGAUGCCGAACAUGCUACAUCCUCCAACCGAACUCAGCCCAACUCAGGGAAAAUCCAGCCCGAUUCAUUUGCAACGCCAAUGCGAAC